AUGUCCAUGGUUACAUCUUUCAACCUCCUGAUGAGCCAGACGGCGCCUCCGGUACUGAAAGCUCCCUUUGGUGCAGCCCUGCGAUCCGCAGGCAAGCCAGCAGCGGCAUUGGCCCUCCAAAGGAAGUCUCCGCGUCUUUUGGUGCGUGCUAAUAAUUCUCCGAAAAGCCCUGCUGAUACUGGGCAUCCCUUUGGCAUCGCACCCUUUGCCCUGGUGCACCCCAAGUUCCCACCGACGUCAGGCAACAAGUGGAGGAUCACGGAGGACGACGACUACGUGAAGCUGUGGUUCCACGUCGGGGAGAAGAUAGACAGGAAGAAGCUCAAGGUUCGGAUCGAGCACGACACGGUGCUCCUCGUCAGCUACGGCGGCGCCGGCGACGAGACGUCGACGACGGAGAACUCCCUCGACGUGCGCCUGCUGCUGCCGAACAAGCCGUACGACACGGCCAAGGUCGAGGCCGAGCUCACCUUCGGGACGCUGCUGGUGACCGUCGCCAAGCGCAAGCCCCAGGGGCGUGACAAGGUCGAAAUCCCGAUCACUCCGGCUCCAAGCAAUGAGAAAACCACUACCGCCACCGGACAAACCGGUAGCGAGACCUAGCUAUAUAUCUAAUCUUAAAAGUGGCAAAUAGUUAAAUAUCGCUCAGCGGAGAGCUUAGUCACGAGAUAGAUCCAUGUGCCGUCGAUCAAUCUUGCUCCGAGAAAUAAAAAUGGGUCAAUAAUCUUGUUCUAUUUGGUAUAUGGUAUGGCUCGCUGA
rnacentral:lncRNA from 1 species